AGGAGUGUGUCUCUCCGGGCCACCCCUGAUGUAACCAGUGGAAAGUUUUAUAUUGAGUUUGAUUAUGAGCUAGUCAAGAGUUGUUUUCAUUAAUGAGUGCUGUUGGAGGCGGGACUCAGAACGCAUGCAUUUUGACUGUGUGACUUAUCAAGAGAAACCGUCUCAGAGAAGAGUAUUCAGCAUGUAUUGUGAAUGGAGUUGUUUAGAGUUGUGAUAGGCAGCUGACUGUGCCAAGGCAGCUGUUUCCAGGAGAAUCAACACCUGCCCAUUUAAGAGUCCUUCAAAGAUUUGACUAAACCUCCCUUUACAGCAUUGUAUGCAAAUUGGUCACUUUACUUAGUCAACAGCUUACAAUCCCUCUUCAAGCUCAGAUAUCAAAUAGAUGGGGCGCUCCAAACCUAGUGACCGGAAAGUUGGAUCUGUUUAGAAAUGUGUAUGCUAAAGAGUUUCAAGAAUGGUUAAUUCACGGCUGCAUUGAUAACUGCUUGUUAAUGUCAAUUUACCUCUUGUGACUGUAUGUUUGAGGUUUUUAAUUGAUAUACUUGACAUGUCUGCUAUGCAACUUGAUUUGUCUGAUAUAACUUUUCUUAAAUGUGUAUAUACUUUUUUUUUUUUUUUU